rnacentral:rRNA from 1 species
UACGGAGGGUGCAAGCGUUAAUCGGAAUUACUGGGCGUAAAGCCCACGCAGGCGGUUUGUUAAGUCAGAUGUGAAUUCCCCGGGCUCAACCUGGGAACUGCAUUUGAAGCUGGCAAGCUUGAGUCUUGUAGAGGGGGGUAGAAUUCCAGGUGUAGCGGUGAAAUGCGUAGAGAUCUGGAGGAAUACCGGUGGCGAAGGCGGCCCCCUGGACAAAGACUGACGCUCAGGUGCGAAAGCGCGGGGAGCAAACAGG